GACAGCAGCAGCCGCGGUAAUACGUAGGUCCCGAGCGUUGUCCGGAUUUAUUGGGCGUAAAGCGAGCGCAGGCGGUUAGAUAAGUCUGAAGUUAAAGGCUGUGGCUUAACCAUAGUACGCUUUGGAAACUGUUUAACUUGAGUGCAAGAGGGGAGAGUGGAAUUCCAUGUGUAGCGGUGAAAUGCGUAGAUAUAUGGAGGAACACCGGUGGCGAAGGCGACUCUCUGGUCUGUAACUGACGCUGAGGAGCGAAAGCGUGGGGAGCAAACAGGAUUAGAUACCCCAGUAGUCCCUGUCUCUUAUACA
rnacentral:rRNA from 1 species